UAGACCUGAAAUCAGUCGAG
rnacentral:rRNA from 4 species